CGCAGCGCCACGUGGAGCGCCCGUCCCCGCGGGUACCGGCGGUGCGGUGCGGUUCCGCCGUGCGCUGCGGGAAUGAGGGCGGCCGUGGGGGGCGGAGAGCUCCGCUGUGCUGCGUCAAUCAGAUAGAGAGCAGGACGCGAAAUGGCCGCCGGGAGAGCCGAAGUGGUACGUUGCCGGGGUUCGGUGGGUAUGGAAAUGGGGAUAGGGGAGGGGAAAGGCUUGGGAUAUCGAUGGGGAAUUGCAAGGGGGUAGGAGAGCUGCUCAUCCUGGCAGUGUAUGGGGAUGGGGACAGGGCUUCUGGGGUCACACUGCCUCUUUACCCUCUUGUUUUUGCUAAGGUAGCACUGUAGUAGCAUGCAUUUGUGCUUUACAGGGUGGACUGCCUGCACGUGGUUCUGUUAAGGGGGACGGGUGAGGUUGGGGGGCUGACGGCAUUUGGCAUUGCAGCACUGUGAGUGUGGAAGCAGAACGCUGUGGGACAGCUGGGAGGGCUCCAGGGGGAUGAGGCCAGGCUGGAGGGCACAGCAAGACAGUUGCUGCUUCCACAGACAGCUCCCAAGAAGAAGGAAUGCCUAUGGGGUGGGGUGUGCCAAAUUGGGGUGGCAGAGGGGGACAGUGGGGGGUUGCUCACCAAUGCAUACAGCACAGCAUCAUCCUGAGGAGCAGUACAGAAUGAGGAGUCCGGCCAUGGUCGCCUAGGGGGAAAAAUGGGCAAUACAAAGCCAUGAGAGUGCCUGCGUCUGAAUUCACACCAAGCUGCUCUGAGUGUUUGGUAGAAUACACUGCACUGCACAUAGGGUACCCCAGAGGCAGUGGGAUGCACAAAGAUGCCUCAAGGGCACACUGGGGAACCUCUACAGCACCCAAAGAGUGCUGAGAUAGGCUGGCAGUACAUUAGGAUGACCUAAAGCCAGCCCAUAUCUCUGCCUAUAAGCCCCACAUCUCUCCUCAAGAUGGGAACAACCCAAUACCACCCCCAAGAGGUGCCAGAUGCCGUGUCCAGCUAUAGAGGUCCCCCCAAACCCCACAGCUCCACCCUGCUGGGGUCUCUGCAGGGGCUGAGGGGGUGCAGGGCUCUGAUAAAAUGCUAUUUUCCAGGUAUAGCCCAAGGUUGGAUGAUCCCAGGGCUCCCAGCUAAGCUCAGCCUCACUCUAUAAUGAAUACACUUAGCAUCCCAGAGCAGGAUUUAUGGCACAGUGCCUUCCUUAGAGCUCACAUCCAUCCUGCUGGGGCAGGGCAGCCCUGUGCCAGGAUAACUGGGGGAUGUGUUCCAUGGGGAGCCUGGGCACACAGGAGUCAAAGCUGAGCAGGAGAAAGCAGAAGAGAAUAGACCUGUAAAUGUAAAGUGCCAUUUAUUAUUAUUUUUUCCAUGAUGAAAAUAUUUAGUUAAAAAAAAACAAAACCAAAACAAACAAAAACCCAACAAAAGGCUCCAUAUGAAUUUUCCCCUUCCAAAACCCAACACCAAAGUGAAACAAGCCACAGAUAACCCUAACGCUUUAUGAACUCUCCAUCUCCCCACCUUGCACCUAAGGGGCAAAAAACAACAGUAACUGCCCGGUGCACUUUGCUGCCAACCCCCAGCCAGGCAAUGGGGAAGGGGCUGUGGUUUGGGGUUAAGAAGGCAACAUACUGCCUAAAGAGUGACUACCAGGCCUGCCCCAUCAGAGGAGCAUCCAGCAGUCACUUGGCAAACUGCAAAGGGAAAAGCAAAGUAAUAAAUCCCAUAAUAAUAAAUAAGCAAGGAGGCUCAACCCCCUCAGGAGGAGAUGGGGCUGUGUAAGGCAUAGUCAGCCCUGAGGGGAUGGGGGUGAAUGCAUGGCAAUGGCUCAGCCCUGCUAUCAGCAGGGCCCUCAUCCUUCCUGAGGCAGUGGGGUGAAGAGUGAGUGUGGAGGGCACAGAGCAGCCUUUGAAAACCCUGAAGCAGUGGGACAGAGCAUGAGAGGACUGAACCCCCCCCCCCCCCCCCCAAGCAAGAUCCAGGCCUGGCCCAGCCCCUCCAUGGCCCCAACUGCCACCAAACACACCCCACCAAACACACCCCACCAGACCCCAGGCCUUGGCUUGGGAAGGUGGGGGACAGCUGUAGGGAGGAGGCCUGCAGACCAGAGGGGUCUCCAGGACUGCUCUGCCUGAGGCACAGCAGACCCAGGGAUGGAUCUUGCCUGGCACUGCAAGGGGCUCAAACAGGGGCUCAAACAGUGGAGCACCUGCUCUCUGUGCACCCAGGCCUGCCUGCAGGAGGGGCAGCAGAGCCCACCGGCUGCCCUGCACCUUUCCCCACCCAAGCCAGGAGCUCAGCCUGCACUUAGCACAUCAAGACAACUCAGCCAACAUCCAGUGCACCAGAAACAGGUCAUAAAGCAACCCCAAUUAACACCACCAUGAGUAAAACCACACAUGCCUCCUUUACUCACAGGGAGAAAAAGAGAGAGAGCAGCACCCAGCUCAGCUCUAAGCAAUGCCACAGCCUCGUGGCACAGCAUCUGCCAUGGCUGGACACCCUGCAAGGUUUCUCCCCUUCUGGCAGCACCCAUUUCCCCUCUCGAUGCUCAUAGCCCAGCUGAGGAGCACAGCAGCAGGCAGAGCCCCCUCCCCACAGCCGUAUGCCCACCCCCAUAUGCCCACCCCCUGCCCCCAUCUCACACACAUACACCAAUGCACACGCUUUCUUUUGUUUUUUUUAACCCAAGUGAACAUGUUUCCAAAAAAAAAAAAACCAAAAGAGGAAAAAAAAAUUAACAUAAGCAGCACAUUUCCCAAGUGUCAAGAGCUCCAAGCUGGAGCAGAGGCCCAGGAUACCCCCAGACCAACAGAAACCAAGCCCAUGUUUGCUUGGGGGUGGAAAGGGGGACUGGGAGGGGGGUUGGGGGGGGGGCAGCUGAUUAACGUUUCCAAGUGAUGGUUGCUUUGCUGGUGGGAUGCGAGGUGAGGAUGGGGCUGGAGGGGGUGGGGGGAAGGAAGGAGGGCAGUUCUGUUGUGUGCUGAAGGACAGGGAAUGGUGACAGAGGCAGAUGUACUGACAGCAGGCAGUCGGCUCGGCCAUCACACGGCAGCACGGGUGGGUGUGCUGGGCUGGUUUAACCUCAGUGUUUUGCACAGCCAGCCGGCGAAAUCCACCUCCUCCACUUCGGAGCGUUUGAUGAAGGUGUGAUUCUGCAAUGGGAAGCAAAGCCAGGUUAGGAAGGCACGUUGUCAGCGUGCUGCAAGGUGCUCCCCGCAGGGAGGGUUUCCACCUCCAGUAGAACAUCACAAUCCCUGGUCCCUUCUCAGAGCUUUGGGGGGGGGCUUAUAGUGUUGGUUGGAUCCCAGCAAAGCCAAUGGAUCUAAGGCUACAGCUUGGGUUGCUUUCAGGCCCAGACAGUGGAUCUGGAGAGUAGUUCCUCAGUGUUUGCUACCUGCAGCCCUAUGGCUGAGUCAGGGCACCCAGGAAGCUCUCAGGGCACGCAGAAGAGCUGAGGUGCAAAACCUGUGUGCUGCAUCCCCAGAGCAAACCUAAAUGCUAUGGUGGAGACAAGACAAGCCUGGUGUAGGUUCAGAACUACAGGUCCUGAGCUCAGCCCAGUCCCAGUUUGCUCCCAAAGAGCAAACCCUAACCCACCUCCAACCAAGGAGAGGGGCAGAGCAGGGUGACCACAAAACAAGGACAAGGAGCAGGGACAUAGGAUGUGGGCUGCUGCUUUUGCAAGGGGCAGUGGGGGGCAGCCAGCUGUGGCUUAGCACUAGGCUGAGGAAGAAAAGUGGGGAUAAACUGAGCUCUUCUACCCUGCUCGAGAGGCAAAGCUUUGUCCCAGGCACCUUCGCAGACAUGGAGAGGUGCUGGAGCCAUCAGGUUCCCAUCCUGGGCUCUGCUGGGGAGGGGCAGUGGGCUCUCAGGGGUUAGAUGACAUCACUGCCUUUGAGAUAAAGGCAAAUGAGUCACUCCCAGGCUGGACUUGGUUCUCAGGCUCAGCCAGGGGAGUUCCCAGCCUUUAGAGCAAGGGUGGCUGAAGGGGAUGGGAUGAGGCAGCAGCUUGCAGAUCUGGUGCCACCCACUGUAGAAAGAAGAUUGCUCUUCCCAUUUACCAUCAGCAUCUUCAAAUCUGCCCGUUCCGCUGGAUUCUUAAUUAAGCUGAAAUGAGAAGAACAAAGAGAGCAAAAGCAGCACUGAGACCCUUCUUGUAAGAAACUGCUUAUCUGUCUGGAGAGGUCUCCAGCUUCACUAAAACCACGUGGCCUCCUGUCUGCCCUCCCCAGGAGACCAGCAGUGUGGACAAUGCUUAGAUAGUGUUGUCUGCAGCCAUCAGUGGUGUUUGCCGGGUGCCUGCAAGGCUGUGGGACGAGCUGCAGAGGAUAACUACAAAUAAAGCACUUUUAUUCCAGCCCUUCCCAAGGCAGAAGUUCCCAGCACAGUGCAGGACCUUGCUGCAGCCAAGCCAGAGCAGGGAGAGGUUACCAACAGAGAACAGACAACCCUCAGGCUGAACAUUUGGAGUGGGGAGGCAGCCUGCUGAGCUGCCAGUGAGCACCUACAGGCCUCCACGUUCAGUCACAAACAGAAAUCCUUACCAUUUAUUUACAAACUCCUGGAAAUCUUGCGUGAAAACUCCAUUUGGCAACUUGGGAGGUGGCUGCAGAGAGAGGAAAAAGGAUUAAUGGGUCAAAAUGUAAAUGUCUUAGAGCACAGCUUUCAGUUAAGGUUUGUCCAAAGCCCAUGCUCCUCCAAGCUGCUCCCUUCCCAUUCUAUCAGUGGCCAACAUAGUUUUUGUGCGUUUUGGAGGGGCUCUGUUGAUAAGCCCCUGUCAAGCAGAGGUUUUUGAGCCUACUCUUGACCUGGCAGAGUGAACACAUCACUAACCCAGGGGAGCAGAGCCUACAGUAGUGCAAUACUCACCUCAUUAACGAUAUAGUCCAGCAGUUCAAAGAUGGCCAUUGCAGGUCGGCUGUCCAUUCCAUGGCCUGUGUGGUUAAGAUGAAAGGAAUACUGGUGAGAAGCUGUUCAGGCACCAAAGGGCUUCAUUUCAUACAAACAAAACCCACACUGUGAGACUUCUGUUGGGGAGAAGCAGAGGGCACCAGCUUGGGAAUGAACCCAUGGUUAAAAAAAAUCCCCCAAAUCACCUCCUAAGCUCCCCAUACAAGCCCAGAACCCCAUACAAGCCCAGAACCCCAUACAAGCCCAGAACCCCAUACAAGCCCAGAACCCCAUACAAGCCCAGAACCCCACAGGCUCUCAGGAUUAGAAACCUCCACAGCAGAGCUGGAUUCUCCUACAGCACAGACAUAGCUCUGUGUGCAGCAGAGAGCGAGAUGAGAACCCUCCCUCCCUACAGCCUCAUCCACAACAGCUUCUGCUAACCCAGCCACACCGACACAACCCAUCCCCUUGCCCCCCAGUGUUGCAUCCAAUGCAUCUGACAGCCCCUACCACUGAUGGGGCGUCCUGGGGGUCUGGCCCGCGGCGAGACGCUGUGAGAUUCUCCCUCUGCCCCAUCCACCACGGGACGGCCAAAUAUUGCUUCCAGUUCCUUGGAGUCUGGUGGGGGUAUGGGGUACCUUCCAAUAGAAAGCUCCACCAGUGACAGACCCAUGCUCCAGAUGUCGGACUGGACUGAGUAAUGGGUGCCCUGCAACCGUUCAGGCUGGAAGGAAAAAGAGCACAGACAACACAGCAGUAAGAAAGCUGAAGCAUCCUCUCCGUGAGCAGGUGUCCUCCAAGCAGCCAGCACUCCUGAUGCCUGCCAGAAGCACUCGGGUCUGCAGAGGAAGCAUUUCUGGGGGGUGGGGGAACUCCCAAGUCACAUCAAACACGAAUUACUUGCACACAUCUAACCAGCAGAUACAGCUGAGCAGCCUUUGCAGUUGUUUAUACCCCAGACUUAUGAGUAUGCAGCGUUUCUCAGUGAGCUGAGAUCUCAAUUUUGUUGCCAAAAAGAAAGUAAUUGUGUUUUUUUUCUGUUUAUUCCUAUUAAUAGCUGAGAGUAAUCUGAGGAGCAGAAGAUCCUACUGUGAUAAUAAAGAUCAGUGCAAGCCAUCUGUACUGGUAGCUUUGUGUGAGCUGUGCAGACCCAACAGCUGAAUGCAGAGGGGACAUCACCCUUAAAUACACCAUCUAACUAUAACUCUACUUAAAUAACCAUUCCCAAAAUACAAGAGGAGCUCAGACCUCAGUACAGAAGCACCAGCAGCUUUGCUAACAAAGCUACUGCCUGCUUACAGCUGCAACCACACGUUGUGGACAGCAGAGAUGCAUCUUCUUUGCUAUCCAGACAGAGGACCAGAGCCAGCCUGGAGGAGACUUCAUGGUUACAGCAGCCUGCUAUCAGCACACAGAGCAGAGCUUCACUGGGCAGAGGAGUCUGCAUGAUGCCACUUGCUGCACUGUGUCACUGCCACUACACCAGGCUGGACAGAAACCAUUAGCCAAAGUGUGUCCCACAAUGUGUGGUUUAGCACAUCUGCAGCCCAGGGCCCAUGGAUUAUGACUUUCAUUUUGAGGUAUAAUCUGCACUUUUUGCAGUUCUCCUCCAGCUUGGCUCUGUUUUCCAUCACUCUGCACCAACCCCACCUGCAUUAGACUGGCUGCCACCCCUGCCAGCAACUGCACGUGGUUGAAGCAUGGUUGAAGGAGGGAGGGUGUCAGCAUGGGUGCCCCCUCCACACUGCCACAGUUUCUUGGAUAAGCUUUGCAUACAGAGAGAAGGCUUUGAACCCACAAACAUUAGCUGAAACAGAAUGGAAGCAUCCAUAGGAUGGGGACAUCUUCCUUUGCACGUCUCUGCGCUUGUUUCUAUUGCAUGGAACACUUUGUGCCCCACAGUCCAACCUUCAGCAUAGAGCAGCAAUAAGCACAUGUGAUCAAGCAGAGCCUGAAGAGACCACGGUCCCAGAGAGGGCAGAAAUGCAGAGGAAAACUGUAAGCAGCUUGGACAGGACAUCGAUUCUGUAUGAGUGGUUAACCCCACCUGCAGCCAAACUGAACCCCAAUUGUAAAAACCCCACUCAAAAGUUGAACUUACAGACAUGUAGGACCGAGUUCCCACAAAAGAGUUUGCCAUGGAGUCAAUGAGUUGACCACUGACCCCAAAAUCACACAGCUUAAUCUCUCCUCGAGAGUUAACCAGGAUGUUGGAAGGCUUCACAUCUGACAACAGUGAGAGAGAAGAGUGUCAGCAUGGCUCUGGGUAAAACACAGGGCUCCUCCAGCACAGCAAGCUACUGUUAGCUUCCUCCUCUCACCUCUGUGCAUGAUUUGGUGCUUCUCUCUCAGAUAGGCCAAACCUCUCAGAACCUAAAAGGAAGCCAAAGACGGGGUAAGAACUCAGAAGCAAAGUGCUCUGCCUUCAGUAAGGCCCAUUGCAUAGACUUCAGUGCUGCCACACCGCAGCUCUGUGAGGAAAGCCUCUCUGUGGUGACUAAGCACUUCAAGUGUUGCAAUUGAUCACCGUGGAUGGGAGUGAGCAAUGGCCACUGUUUAGAUUCAGUCAGAGAGCAAAAACCAACCCCUUAUGGUGACAAUCACAAGCCUUGGGUUUAUUGCCCAAGGAAGCGACCACCAAACAGUGCAACACCAGGGGUGGGAGCUAUGGAGUGUGCUCAGGGAUCUGCUUCCCUGCUCCCAUCCACCACCACCUCCUGCCCAACUUCAGGAUGGGAAAGCACAUAUGGAGAAACGAAGCAACUCACCGCUAUGCUGACUUUCCCCAGUAUUUCCUCGGGGAUUCUUUUGGCUUCUUUCAACACUUGAUCCAGGGAGCCACCAUCCUGCAAGUAAGAAAAGCACUGAGGUUAUCAGCACACCAAUGGCAGCAGAGUGUUCGGCCAUACAGACGAACACAUCCAUAUUGGACCAGUGCUGUAAGAGUGGUACGCAGCAUCCCAGCUCAGUGGACUGCAGUCCAUCAAUAUCAAGCACACUCCAGCAGCAGGAAAAGAUCUCUGGCAAUCAGAGCUCAAGCUUCACAUUGAGAACUCCUUUAAUCCUAUCAGCUCUGUUUCUUGCUGUUAGCUUAUAAGCUUCUUUUCCCAGCAGCAGUAAACACAAAGAUGAGGCUGCCAGCAUCAUUGUGGAGCAAUGACAACACUUCUGAUAGAGACAAGAGGAGACGUGCAUUACACUUGACAGCAAGCUCUGUAGAGUGGUGGGUUUACAGCAUUUCUGUUUGGCCACCCCCUAAACUUCUGCUUCCUAAAGUCAAUGCCUGUCAUUUAGAUGCUUAAGUAGGAGCAUGGAGAUUCAAACCCCAGCUCAGCAGCCUUGCUGAACACCGAGCAGUCAGAGCAAGGAGCCACUGCACAGCCAGCAAUGAGUGGCAGCACACUAAGCCACCUCACCUGGGUGUCAUUCUCAUUACAGACCCAGUUGGGAACACAGUACUGGGAGCAGCUGUUUGGAGAAGGAUGGGGGGGGAAAGGAUGUGGACUCACCAUGUGCUCCAUGCAGAUGGAAAUCUCUCCAUCGCUGUAGAAGGCCCCAUAGAAACCCACAAUGUAUGGGGAAUUACACUCAUGCAGCACCUGCAGCUCUCGGAUAAUCUGAUUCCUGAUGGCUGGUUUGAUUUCUAGAUGAAUCAGCUGACAAGAAAAGUUACUGUUAACAAAAAAACAACCUUACAGGAACCGCAGGAACAAGUGUGAGCAUUGGGAAGAAAGGAAAACGUUUCCAUAACUAAGGAUAAAGAGCCAAGUGGAGUGCUGUGCAGUCUGUUAGCAAGUGCAGCAACUGCCAGCCUGUGUAACACACCGAGAUCACCCAGGACACAGAAUGGAAAGGCAAGGCAGAAGUUGGAUGCAGAUCUGACUCAGCAACGUGAACAUUUUCACAAGCUCUGUAGGUGUUGUAAGAACAGGUGCCCUCAUAUCAAGGAAACGACGUGAAGUGAAAAUACACUCACAUGCUUAUGCAUGUGAAAGAGUAAAUGCCUUAUUCCUUGGGCUCCACAUAGAGUCAGCUAACACAGCUGUGGGAAGGAAAGCCAUGAAGUCUAGCAAAUGCCAUGGCAGGUUAGAAAGCAGCAGCUGUUACUAUGAGCUCUAGGACACCCAGGCCCUGCUCUCUGCAAGGAACACAGCAGUGUUGCCCAACACUGCAGCUUGCCUUGGCUCCAGUUUUUAAACACAGCACUCCCAACAGUCUCAAAACCAUCUGAUUACACCUAGCCUACCCAAAAUAAUGCCACAGUGGAAGACCCACAGAGCUCCAUCCAAGCAGAGCCUCCCGGAGAACCUAUUAGCUCAUGAUGAACACAAACUCAUCCCCACAGCAGGUGAGAAUAGAGCCUUCCAAGGAAGCUGCCCUAUAUAUUAGCAAUUGCACUGCUCUCACUGAGCACUGCCUUUUCUAAUAGGCAGACAAAGCACCUCCUAUUUCUCUAUUACAAGACACUGCAGUAAAAGACAUCUCCCAUAAGCCGAUCUCAGAGAGGAACAGCUGUCAGGACAGGUUCACAAGGCUGCUCGGAACUAUUAAGCAGAUGGCAGGGGAUGUGUGCAUGCCAAACUCAGGUGUGUGCAGGCCAGCCGUGCUUCUCCACCUGCCACACCGAGCCCUCGUUACCACCACCCUCAGAAAACCCAUUUCCUGGUGAAAGAACAAAUUCACGUUCUCACACCAGGCAUUGCAAAACCCUGUGACCUGUUGUGAUGCAGACUUCCCCUCUCAGGAGGUGACCCACAGCAAGGCAGAGCAGCCAGAAAGCUCAUAGAAGGGGAAGAGGCACUGUGCAGAGCCCAGCUUUGUGCACUGGUGCACACUCAGAUGCUUUGCAUGCAGGUGGAGCAGCUCAGACAGCCCGGUUGGACCUCUGCUCUCCAGCAAGGCACCUCCUGCCCCCUUACCUUCCGUGCCAUAAUGAGCCCUGAGGGUUUGUGUUGCACUUUGGUGACCACACCACCGUUGCCAGCCCCCAGCUCGGAGAUCCUCUCAAAGUCAUCGUCCUUCAGCUCUCCCACUUUGGCUUUCUGAGUGAGGAAAGCUUCCAAGCGCUUCUUCUGCUGCUCAUCCAGCUCCAGCUCCUCCAGCUUCUUCUGAAGGUCCACCAGGUUGGCCUCUGCGGAACCGCCGGGCCCGGGUCCCUCGGCGGGGCUGGGAGUGAUGGUGAGGGCCGGCAGCACCGGCUUCCUCUUGGCCGGCAUGGCCGGGCCGCGCCGCGCCUGCGGGCCGAGCGGGGCGGGG
rnacentral:lncRNA from 1 species